UCUAACAUGUGCGCGAGUCAUUGGGACCGCAAAGCCUAAAGGCGUAAUGAAAGUGAAGGUCGACCUCGCGUCGACCGAGGGAGGAUGGGCCGCGUUAAGACGCGGCUCCGCACUCCCGGGGCGUCUCGUUCUCAUUGCGAGAAGAGGCGCACCCAGAGCGUACACGUUGGGACCCGAAAGAUGGUGAACUAUGCCUGGUCAGGACGAAGUCAGGGGAAACCCUGAUGGAGGUCCG
rnacentral:rRNA from 1 species